rnacentral:rRNA from 1 species
UUCGUAGGCGGUGCGGCAAGUCGGAAGUGAAAUCUCUGGGCUUAACCCAGAGGCUGCUCCCGAAACUGCCGUGCUUGAGUGCGGGAGAGGCCAGUGGAAUUGCAGGUGUAGCGGUGAAAUGCGUAGAUAUCUGCAGGAACACCCGUGGCGAAGGCGGCUGGCUGGACCGCAACUGACGCUGAGGAACGAAAGCUAGGGGAGCAAACAGGAUUAGAUACCCUGGUAGUCCUAGCCCUAAACGAUCAGGACUUGGGGUGCAUCCCGUCGGGGUGCGUCCCGUAGCUAACGCGUUAAGUCCUGCGCCUGGGGAGUACGGUCGCAAGGCUGAA